ACUCCUACGGGAGGCAGCAGUGGGGAAUAUUGCACAAUGGGCGCAAGCCUGAUGCAGCCAUGCCGCGUGUAUGAAGAAGGCCUUCGGGUUGUAAAGUACUUUCAGCAGUGAGGAAGGUGGAUAUGUUAAUAGCAUAUUCAUUUGACGUUAGCUGCAGAAGAAGCACCGGCUAACUCCGUGCCAGCAGCCGCGGUAAUACGGAGGGUGCGAGCGUUAAUCGGAAUUACUGGGCGUAAAGCGCAUGCAGGUGGUUUGUUAAGUCAGAUGUGAAAGCCCGGGGCUCAACCUCGGAAUUGCAUUUGAAACUGGCAAACUAGAGUACUGUAGAGGGGGGUAGAAUUUCAGGUGUAGCGGUGAAAUGCGUAGAGAUCUGAAGGAAUACCGGUGGCGAAGGCGGCCCCCUGGACAGAUACUGACACUCAGAUGCGAAAGCUGGGGAGCAAACAGGAUUAGAUACCCUGGUAAGGCUCU
rnacentral:rRNA from 1 species